GCUCCAGGAAGAUGGUUGGGCAGCCCUGCCCUAGAGCCACUCCAAUUCGCAUAGCCUCAACAGAUCCACAGAUGAGACGCAAUCUCAAUUGCACUUCACACUGCCUUCUACCACCUGAAAAAAGUGGGGAAAUAACUAUGUGACAAUGCUGUUUAUAGACAGAUAUUUUCUCUUCCCCACGAGGGGCCUGUAUGAAAAAUGUAUGCACUCACUAACUGUAAGUCGCUCUGGAUAAGAACGUCUGCUAAAUGACUAAAAUGUUUUUUUUUAAAUGGACGCCUUUCAUUCUAGACAGCGCAAACACUCAUACUGGCUUUCAAUUAUAUACUACUGCCAUUUACUUUAUGUUCGUAAUCUUAUGCCUUACUAUUUCUCAUUUGUUGUUGCAUUGUCUCGAAGGAACCUGCAAGUAAGCGAUGUGUACCAUACGUAUCCCGUACAACUAAUAAAACUUGAAACUUGAUGUCCGUAAACAAACCCAUUUAGUGUUAUGUCCCAUAGUGGGCCACUAGAGGGUGCCAUCUGAUCAUGUUGUCCUCAUUGGGCGAGUUCGUUUUGCAUGGCCCGGUGCCCAAGGUAAGUGGAGAUUUAUGUUAAGGACCAAUGGAAUGGUUUAAAAUAUUAAAUUCCACUCACAUGGGGCACCGAGCCAUGCAAAACGAACUUGCCCAUUGACUAAUGUAGGCUACUGUAGUGUUGUUUUGUUGCUGGGCAAAUUACAUCACAGUCAUCUUUGAAAAACAAUUGACUUCAAGUGAAUCCAACAGGAUUAUUAGUAGUUUUCCUCUGUAUCCACGAAGGAUGAAUUUGUGUUUCAUCAUACGUUUUUAUUAACCUCUUCUCCUUUAGACAUUCGUCGGUCGUUUCCGUCGGACCAUGGAUUCUUCCCAGAAUGUCUACAACGAGGACACAUCUGCCCUGGUGGAACGCCUGGACUACCUGGAAAGGGCGCUGUUUAGGGCGGGGCAGAGUGGCCUCAACAGCUUCCAGAGCUGGGAGAGGGGCCACGCAUCAACCCUCACUGCCUCCAGCCUGGUGCUCAACUACCGCAAGAGGAAGAUCGCUGAUCUGUAGCCCUGAGGGGCAUCUCCAAAGAUACGUCCAGAAUGGCACCCUAUUCCCUUUAUAGUGCACUACUUUUUUACCAGAAGGUAGUGCACUCUAAAGGGAAUAGGGUGCCAUCUGGAACACAAUCCAACACAACAUAGGCGAGAUAGGACUGAGUUGGAAGUAGAGCAGUGGAUUAGUGUUUUUGUUAUAAAAUAUAUGUUUCAUGUGGGAAUCCGUUUUCUAAGGUUGCGUUCUGAUAUUUCUUCCACUAAUUGGUCUUUUGACCAAUCAGAUCAGCUCUGAAAAAGAUGUGAUGUGAAAGAUCUGAUGGGAUUGGUCAAAAGACCAAUUAGUGGAAAAAAUAUCCAAAUUUGACUGUGUAAACGCAGCGUCAGUAGUUUUGUGAAUGCCGUUUGUCUGUGUCUCUAUGGCUGCGUUUACACAGACAGCCCAAUUCUGAUAUUAUUCACAUCAGAUCUUUUUCAGAGCUGAUUUGAUUGGUCAAAAGACCAAUUAGUGGGGGGGAAAUCAGAAUUGGGCUGCUUGUGUAAAUGCAGCCCAUGUUACGGUGUAAGCUUGUGUGUUUGAUUUCUGAGAUUUUCACACACAUACGGUACACAAAUGUUUUUCAAAGGCUUUGUAAAUAUUUUUGGAAUCAUCUGUUUUA